GAUGAAGAACGCAGCGAAAUGCGAUAAGUAAUGCGAAUUGCAGAAUUCAGUGAGUCAUCGAAUCUUUGAACGCACAUUGCGCCCUGUGGUAUUCCGCAGGGCAUGCCUGUUCGAGCGUCAUUUCAACCCUCAAGCCUCGCUUGGUGUUGGGCCCUGCCCGCCGCGGCCGGCCCUAAAGAUAGUGGCGGCGCCGCCUGGCCCUCGGCGUAGUACAGCUCUCGCUCCAGGGUCCGGCGGCAGCCUGCCAGAACCCCCCAACUCUGUGGUUGACCUCGGAUCAGGUAGGGAUACCCGCUGAACUUAAGCAUAUCAAUAAGCGGAGGA
rnacentral:misc_RNA from 1 species